GACGAACGCUGGCGGCGUGCUUAACACAUGCAAGUCGAACGAUGAAGAAGAGCUUGCUCUUCGGAUUAGUGGCGAGCGGGUGAGUAACACGUGACUAACCUGCCCCUUUCUCUGGGAUAACGCUCCGAAAGGAGUGCUAAUACCGGAUACUCACAUCGAGGCACAUGCCUUGAUGUGGAAAGUUUUUCGGAAAGGGAUGGAGUCGCGGCCUAUCAGCUUGUUGGUGAGGUAACGGCUCACCAAGGCGACGACGGGUAGCCGGCCUGAGAGGGCGACCGGCCACACUGGGACUGAGACACGGCCAAGACUCCUACGGGAGGCAGCAGUGGGGAAUAUUGCACAAUGGGCGAAAGCCUGAUGCAGCGACGCCGCGUGAGGGAUGAAGGUCUUCGGAUUGUAAACCUCUUUCAGUAGGGACGAAGCGAAAGUGACGGUACCUAAAGAAGAAGCACCGGCUAACUACGUGCCAGCCGCCGCAGUAA
rnacentral:rRNA from 1 species